GAUGAACGCUGGCGGCGUGCUUAACACAUGCAAGUCGAACGAAGCACCUUGGACAGAUUCUUCGGAUGAAGUCCUUGGUGACUGAGUGGCGGACGGGUGAGUAACGCGUGGGUAACCUGCCUCAUACAGGGGGAUAACAGUUAGAAAUGGCUGCUAAUACCGCAUAAGCGCACGGUACUGCAUGGUACAGUGUGAAAAACUCCGGUGGUAUGAGAUGGACCCGCGUUGGAUUAGCUAGUUGGCAGGGUAACGGCCUACCAAGGCGACGAUCCAUAGCCGGCCUGAGAGGGUGGACGGCCACAUUGGGACUGAGACACGGCCCAGACUCCUACGGGAGGCAGCAGUGGGGAAUAUUGCACAAUGGGGGAAACCCUGAUGCAGCGACGCCGCGUGAGCGAAGAGGUAUUUCGGUAUGUAAAGCUCUAUCAGCAGGGAAGAAAAUGACGGUACCUGACUAAGAAGCCCCGGCUAACUACGUGCCAGCAGCCGCGGUAAUACGUAGGGGGCAAGCGUUAUCCGGAUUUACUGGGUGUAAAGGGAGCGUAGACGGAAUGGCAAGUCUGAUGUGAAAGGCCGGGGCUCAACCCCGGGACUGCAUUGGAAACUGUCAAUCUAGAGUACCGGAGGGGUAAGUGGAAUUCCUAGUGUAGCGGUGAAAUGCGUAGAUAUUAGGAGGAACACCAGUGGCGAAGGCGGCUUACUGGACGGUAACUGACGUUGAGGCUCGAAAGCGUGGGGAGCAAACAGG
rnacentral:rRNA from 1 species